ACCCUCCCCGGGUGCCCACAGGCUUCCAGGGACGCGCGCGUCGCCGGUUCUUUGUGGCGGGCCGAGACCUGGGAGAGGAGGCGGGACCCAGACCUCGGCCACCUGCUCUGGGGCCAACCAGGGACGCUCCUGGCUUGCCCCAGCCCCUUCCCCGCCUUCGCAGCCGCACCGCCAGGGACCCAGGCCUGGGACUCCCGCCGGAGCCACGCCGCGACAAGGUUCUUCCGAUGCCAUCCUCAUCCACUCUGGAACUGCGUGCGUCUUGGCUUACCUGCAAAACUAGGGGUGAGGUUCCAAGCCGCUGAUUUACUGCGGGAGGAGGUGUCCGCGGAGUCGGCGCGCUAAGGCGGAGAAUUUUCCAAGGAAAAGCGAAGACACUGGGCGCCAGCUGCUGCCUGUCCUGCCCUGCUGGCUGGCCUGCCCGUGCCGCGCCUGUGAACAUCCCAGCUCCUGGGGAAGGACAGCUACAAAUGGCCAUCACCUGAGCUGCCUGAACAUCUGCGGAAGUCAAGACGCAGUGCCUCCACACAAAAAACAACCAUCACCUCCACCACCACCACCAACAAAAAAACCCUGUAAGCCUUAUCUUCCCUCUCAUAGACCUAACCUCUAAUGUGAAAUUAAGUUGGACUCUUA